rnacentral:rRNA from 1 species
AUUGAACGCUGGCGGCAGGCCUAACACAUGCAAGUCGAGCGAGUGGCGGACGGGUGAGUAAUGUAUGGGGACCUGCCCGAUAGAGGGGGAUAACUACUGGACACGGUGGCUAAUACCGCAUACCAACGGAUGAGACCAGAUGGGCUUAGCUAGUAGGUGGGGUAAAGGCUCACCUAGGCGACGCUCCCUAGCUGGUCUGAGAGGAUGACCAGCCACACUGGAACUGAGACACGGUCCAGACCACUACGGGAGGCAGCAGUGGGGAAUAUUGCACAAUGGGCGCAAGCCUGAUGCAGCCAUGCCGCGUGUAUGAAGAAGGCCUUAGGGUUGUAAAGUACUUUCAGCGAGGAGGCGUUACUCGCAGAAGAAGCACCGGCUAACUCCGUGCCAGCAGCCGCGGUAAUAC